UUCAUUCUCCACUGUCCCUGUGAGGCAGGUCCUCUUACCAGCAUCGUCCUUUGCUAUCUUAAUGAAGAAAUGGAGGAGCAGAAGAUAGGUGACAAGCCAGGAGUCACUCACCUAGCCAGGAGCAGAACUGGAUUUGGACCCAGGUCUUGCAUUUAACCCCUGGGCUGCAUUGCCUGCUUACUGUCUUUUAAAUUAGACAUACAGACCUGUCCUCUCUCUCUUCUGGAACUUUUCCUUGAUUUAACAGUAUUACAACUUCCCAGACAGUCUAGGAGAAAUGCCUCAGUUAGAAAAAGACUUGGCCUUUGCUCUGCUGUUUGAACAGAAAAGAAGUCUUUGGGUCCCAGUGCAGGAGAAGUAAUCAGAAAGGGCCAACUUUCAUGGCAGGACCAUCCUACAAACUCCAUUUUCAAGGUGCUAGCCAAUGCCAUCUGGAGCCCAAAGGGAGUUAAUCAAGCACCAUGCUGGAAUCCUUAUAUCAUGACUUACAUCCUCAGGCCAGAAGCAGGUUUGGGUCCUUUGUAAACGCCUGUUUUGGAAAGCAAUUUGGUGUCAGUUCACAGAAACCAAGAAGUGUGCUGAGUUGUGAGUCAUCAUCUGUCUUCUUUCUUCCACUUCGUGGGAAAAAGAUAGGCAGAUUGGUUCAGAUAAUAUGUGGAUCCACCCAAACUCUCACUGAAAGAUAGAAACAAAUGCAUUUAAAAGUGUUUUAAAAAGCAAAUUUACCUUGGAA